GCUCGUCUCUUUACAAUUUGGUAAGAAUUUUAUUUUUAGGNGAAAAAGCCUAGAUUGAAUUAAAAGACAAGAAGACCCUAUCGAGCUUUAAAGGAGUUAAUAGAUACUUGUUUUUAUUUAUAUAGAAAAUGUGGCUAUUAAAUAUUUUGGUUGGGGCGACUAAGGAACAUGAAAAGCUUCCUUUAGUAGAAUUAUAAGGACGUACGGGUGUUGAUCCAUAGUUAGUGAUUAAAGGAAUUAGUUACCGUAGGGAUAACAGCAUUAUCUUUUUUGAGAGUUCUAAUCGAAAAAAGGGUUUGUGACCUCGAUGUUGGAUCAGAAUGUCCUGAAGAUGCAGAAGUCUUCAAGGGUUGGUCUGUUCGACCAUUAAAAUUCUA
rnacentral:rRNA from 1 species